GACGAACGCUGGCGGCGUGCUUAACACAUGCAAGUCGAGCGAGAAACCCCUUCGGGAGUUUCUAGCGGCGGACGGGUGAGUAACGCGUGAGUGACCUGCCUCUUACAGGGGAAUAACGUGCCGAAAGGCACACUAAUACCGCAUGAGACCAUCGGCUGGGAUGCUGGUGGUGAAAGCCGGGGAUCGAAAGACCUGGCGCAAGGAGAGGGUCCUGCGUCUGAUUAGCUAGUUGGUGGGGUAACGGCCUACCAAGGCGACGAUCAGUAGCCGGCCUGAGAGGGUGAUCGGCCACAACUGGAACUGAGACACGGUCCAGACUCCUACGGGAGGCAGCAGUGGGAAUUUGCGCAAUGGACGAAAGCUG
rnacentral:rRNA from 1 species